UCCCUGGUGGUCCAGUGGUUAAGACUCUAUGUUCCUAAUGCAGGAGGCCCAGGUUCGAUCCCUGGUCAGGGAA